GAGAUUUGAGUGAUUUUUUAUUUAAUUAGCAUCAGCUACUCAUUGAUUUAUUGGAUAGUGUCACAGCUCAAAGAAUACAUAGACGAUACCAAAGACUUCAUCAACAUUAAACUGGACAAUGUCCGAAACGAGCUGAUCCAAUUCGAGUUGCUGCUCACGGCGGCUACAUUUGUCGCUACAAUUUUUGCAGUUGUAUCAGGCGUCUUCGGGAUGAACUUUACGCCUGCAUUUUUCCAGUAUCCAGACAACUUCAUUUGGGUCCUUAUUGUAACCACCAUCUCUUGUGGUAAUAUAUGCAGCUUUCAUCUUAUAUUUCAAGCAUAAGAGAUUACUGCCUUUGUGAGUAUAGACUAUUUUUAUGGCCACUGAGCCAUGUUGUACCCGGGUUUUCAUUUUGUACAAGUGAAGCCCAUGAUUCAGUAAUCUAGACCGUUGGCCUGUUGGUACCCAACAUGGAUGGACUGUCCCCUAAAAAUCUCCUCAACCAGAGAAUCCUAGCCUUUCAAUUCUAUUGCCUGCUAAUAUAUUGUUAGUAGUCCACAUUCAACUAAUUAAAAGAACUGAGGAUUUUCCAGUCUUGGAGAUUUUUGGGUCAUGGUCUUUUCAUGGUGGGUCACAUCGGCCGGCAUUUUGGAUCUCUGAAACAUGGGCCCCACCUGUACGAGCUAAAAACCCUGAGUAUGCGUGUAUGUUCACGAACAAAUUUACGGGAAGAUUGCUUGUAUCUUGAUUGUAAUUUCAAGCAUUUUUUUCAUUCCUUGGUUUAAUAUACAUAUGAGCCAUUUUUGUCAAGAAUAUUAUAUGCUCCAGCAUUUUGCAUCUCA